rnacentral:rRNA from 1 species
AUGAACGCUGGCGGCGUGCCUAACACAUGCAAGUCGAACGGAGUAGCAAUACUUUAGUGGCGCACGGGUGAGUAACACGUAGCUAACCUACCCUCAAGCGGGGGAUAACGUUCCGAAAGGAAUGCUAAUACCGCAUAAGCUCACAUGAAGUAGAGGAAUGUGAGAAAAGGCGCAAGUCACUUGAGGAUGGGGCUGCGGCCCAUCAGGUAGUUGGUAGGGUAAUGGCCUACCAAGCCGACGACGGGUAGGGGGCCUGAGAGGGUGAUCCCCCACACUGGGACUGAGACACGGCCCAGACUCCUACGGGAGGCAGCAGUGAGGAAUAUUGGGUCAAUGGGCGAAAGCCUGAACCAGCGACGCCGCGUGGGUGAAG